GACGAACGCUGGCGGCGUGCUUAACACAUGCAAGUCGAACGGAAAGGCCCUGCUUUUGUGGGGUGCUCGAGUGGCGAACGGGUGAGUAACACGUGAGUAACCUGCCCUUGACUUUGGGAUAACUUCAGGAAACUGGGGCUAAUACCGGAUAGGAGCUCCUGCUGCAUGGUGGGGGUUGGAAAGUUUCGGCGGUUGGGGAUGGACUCGCGGCUUAUCAGCUUGUUGGUGGGGUAGUGGCUUACCAAGGCUUUGACGGGUAGCCGGCCUGAGAGGGUGACCGGCCACAUUGGGACUGAGAUACGGCCCAGACUCCUACGGGAGGCAGCAGUGGGGAAUAUUGCACAAUGGGCGGAAGCCUGAUGCAGCAACGCCGCGUGCGGGAUGACGGCCUUCGGGUUGUAAACCGCUUUCGCCUGUGACGAAGCGUGAGUGACGGUAAUGGGUAAAGAAGCACCGGCUAACUCCGU
rnacentral:rRNA from 1 species